GAUGAACGCUGGCGGCGUGCCUAAUACAUGCAAGUCGAGCGAAUGGAUUAAGAGCUUGCUCUUAUGAAGUUAGCGGCGGACGGGUGAGUAACACGUGGGUAACCUGCCCAUAAGACUGGGAUAACUCCGGGAAACCGGGGCUAAUACCGGAUAACAUUUUGAACCGCAUGGUUCGAAAUUGAAAGGCGGCUUCGGCUGUCACUUAUGGAUGGACCCGCGUCGCAUUAGCUAGUUGGUGAGGUAACGGCUCACCAAGGCAACGAUGCGUAGCCGACCUGAGAGGAUGGUCGGCCAAACGGGGAAUGAGACACGGCCCAGACGCCUACGGGAGGAAGCAGUAGGGAAUCUUCCGCAAUGAUAGAAAGUCUGAAGGAGCAACGCCGCGUGAGUGAUGAAGGCUUUCGGGUCGUAAAACUCUGUUGUUAGGGAAGAACAAGUGCUAGUUGAAUAAGCUGGCACCUUGACGGUACCUAACCAGAAAGCCACGGCUAACUACGUGCCAGCCGCCGCGGUAA
rnacentral:rRNA from 1 species